GAUGAACGCUGGCGGUGUGCCUAAUACAUGCAAGUCGAGCGAACAGACGAGGAGCUUACUCCUCUGACGUUAGCGGCGGACGGGUGAGUAACACGUGGAUAACCUACCUAUAAGACUGGGAUAACUUCGGGAAACCGGAGCUAAUACCGGAUAACAUGCUGAACCGCAUGGUUCAACAGUGGAAGACGGUCUUGCUGUCACUUAUAGAUGGAUCCGCGUCGCAUUAGCUAGUUGGUAAGGUAACGGCUUACCAAGGCAACGAUGCGUAGCCGACCUGAGAGGGUGAUCGGCCACACUGGAACUGAGACACGGUCCAGACUCCUACGGGAGGCAGCAGUAGGGAAUCUUCCGCAAUGGGCGAAAGCCUGACGGAGCAACGCCGCGUGGGUGAAGAAGGUCUUCGGAUCGUAAAACUCUGUUAUUAGGGAAGAACAAAUGUGUAAGUAACUAUGCACGUCUUGACGGUACCUAAUCAGAAAGCCACGGCUAACUACGUG
rnacentral:rRNA from 1 species